rnacentral:rRNA from 1 species
ACCUUCGGGUCGUAAACUCCCUUUCGAUCGAGACGAAUGGGCCUUCGGGUGAACAAUCCCGGAGGAAUGACGGUACCGAGAGAAGAAGCCCCGGCUAACUCCGUGC